AAACUCAUAAAAAAACAAUUUAAAAUCGAUUAAAAGAAAAUGCAAAAAAAAGUAGAAUAAAAACAAAAAAUAAAAAAAUGCACAAAAGUGAGAAAUUAUGGGAGGCAUGGGUUGAACCCAAGUCAUGGGGUUGGGAGGCGUGAGCCUCAACCACUUAACCAUGACCUUCAAUAUGUCAAGGCAUGGACACGAAAAAUAUAUAUAAGAAAAACAUUAUAAAAUGGAAAAGAAUGGAAAAUAGCUCAAAAAAAG
rnacentral:lncRNA from 1 species